rnacentral:ncRNA from 1 species
AGACAGCGCUAUCGCGCUUCCUCAGCCCGAACGGCAUCGAAGUAACGACUGGAUAAAACAAGCGUCUCAUCGAUAACGUUAA